CGCAGCGCAAGCAAACGCGGGGCAGCGCUCCCUCCCCGCCCCCGCGGCGGAACUCGGGGAACUUCCAGCAUGGACAAUUUAGAAGCCACAUUCCCCGUCGAAAAUAGCUUUAACACGUUAAAUGCACGUCAUUCUAAAGGUUUUGCAAUGUAGAGUCUGAAAGGCUAUCUUUUCAUGCCUGCCCAAAGGAAAUCGCGGCUAUCCCUCUCGUGCAAAUUCAGCACUGUAGAAUAUCAGCUGUGUCACGAAAACAGGAAGGGAAAUGGGCUACUACAUGCCUGCUACAGCUGUUGAGGCAGUCUGGGACAUCAGUUUCACUCAGGGACAAACAGUCAUACUAUAGCAAGGGGCAAAGUCAAGGUAUUGCCCAGUUACAGUAACAGGCUAGUCCUCUUAAAAAAGUUAAAAUUAAGCUUUUAAUUUAGCUUUUGAAUCAGGCUGAUUAAAUACCAAGAUUUCAUUUUGUUUCACCUGCCCUCCUGUAUUCAAGGCAGUGGCUAAGAAAGGUGUAGAGCACAGGUAAGUCAGGUGAUAAGCAAAGCAAGCCCUCCAGCAGAGUAAGCACUCUCCCACUGCCUGUGGGAUAGAGCCUGUCCCAGCAGCAGGAUCUUCCCUGAUGCCUCCGCUGAGAGAUGCAGAGAAGCAGCACUGUGUCCGGCGCUUCAAGGCCUGGUGCACAACUGCCACUGCCACGGUGCGGGAGAGCGGAUGAGCCAGCCAGCAAGACCAUAUAUGUUCAGUCUACUAAUAUUUGUGGACAAAAUGAGAAGAGCAGCUAUGACAGGAAAACUAAAGACAAAGCAAGCAUUGGAAAAAAGUCACCUAAAGAUGCAAAAGUUUGAGGAAACCCUAAAUACAGGAAAACAAGAGGUUAGAACUGAAGUCGACUGGUUUUACCAUCUUAAACUACAAACACUGAUGCCUUUCCAGAUAUAACACAUGAGCCUGCAAGAUGACGGCUAUUCUAUGGCUCACAUGUGGAUGUCAAGGACCAAAGAUGAAAGACUACCCAAGCUAAUCUGCAUGGAAACUGCAAAAGCACCUGGAAUAUUAGGGGAAUACAGAAACUGAGUGUUUUAUUAGGAAGAACGCAACUGGUCCUGAGUAGAAAUGAGGACUGAGAUUCAAUACAAAUUUAAGUGAAGAGAAAUAAUUCUGCAACUUCAGAAGUUUACACCGCAAUAUGGAGAAGCACAGAAAGGAGACAAAUAGUUCAAAGAGCAAGAGAACUGUGAAAAUUACAUGCAAAUGUUUUUUAAAUGUAUAACGUGUUUUCUUCAGUUGUGUAUGUUCAUCCUUUUACAUUCAGCUUAAGACAUUUGUGCAAGCCACUUUAUUUCCAGCAAACAUUAACAUUUUGUGGGCAAACACAAAAAUCCCUAGAUUUUUCUCUCUCCACACGCACAUGUUUUUGUUCAAUUUAUUCAAGCACUCAUCCUCUCAGAAAGUAAAAACGAUUCUAUCCAGCAAGCAAGAACCACAGACAGGCCUCAAGUGAAUAAGGAAAGCCUUCGAAGAGCCUUCUUCUGCUGAAAACUGAAACAUCUGCUGAGCAUGCCAGAGGAAACUGUGUCUGCUGGAUUCCUGACUGCAGCAUAUUUCUUCCUUGAGCUACGUGAAGUAGGAUGAAGGGCAGAGGAGAUGGUGAGCGGGGAUAACCCUUGAGCGCUGGGACGGCAAUUUCAGCCCAAAGCCUGCCCUGAAGGAGGGGAUACAAGAGGCUGCUACAAAACAGGAAGACAAAUCCUUCCUUCUGCUUAUGUACAUCCAGACCUGGAAUUUAGAAAGGCCAACAAAGGAGAGCAGUAGCUGAAUCCAGGCAGGAAAAGGCAAAACGACUCCUGUGAAGCAAUUACAAAUGUCAGAGAUAAAUCAGAACAGCCUUAUCAUUGAAAGAGAAAGAUGGCUGAUCUUUUGAAAUUCUUCUGAAAAAUCCCUACAGAAUGAGCAGUAGAAAGUUGGCUUUGAAUCUGUUGGAAUUAUACAGAAAUACUAAAUUAUUGUGUUACAUAUACACACAUUAAUUAAUGUAACACAAAUCAAUAUAAUGGACAACAGUAUUGCAUAUGUUCCCCAUCCAAAAUUCUGCGUUACCCUGUUGUGUUUCAGAGUUUGCAUCCUAUAGCACAUGAUUCCUACAUUUUCCUUAAUUUUAGAAACUGUCCUACUAGCAGCCACUGCUCUUCUGGCUGAGAAUGACAAGGUGGGGUUUUAGCCAUCAACACUGUUCAGCGUCAGGAGCAAAGUUGGGUGAAAUGAAUCUUCUACCCUUUGGUGAGAUGGACCGGAGCUGAAAUGCCUGAGUUGCACAUAGAGUUGCCACGGCCUCCUAUCCCUACUGAGAGCCGACACGUUUAGAAAGUGAUUGCAAUGGUAGGGAGGGAUUAGCAGGUAUCACACGAAUGGAUCAUGUUUUCUGAAGGUUCUGGAGAAAAAAACUAAGGAGAGCUGGAGGCGUUCUGGAAAGCUGAUUUGGCAGAACUGAAUUUCCUACUUUUUCAGUUUGCCUAACAGUGAGAGAAAAUCUAAUGAAAUAGGUAUUCUUAACAGGGCCAAAAAUUGUCUAAGCUCUCCCAAUCAGCUUCAGAAAAAUAAAACCCUGGAAAAUGCACAGCAAGAACUUAAGAAUAUGACCAAGAAAAUAAGGAGAAGUGACUUGACACUCUUUACUUAAAAGUCUUCUAUAUUCUGGCUUCUGACUAUGAAUUAUUUAAAAGGUGUUUGGAAAACCUCAUCACUUAUGGGAAAAAAUCUGCAUCUCUAAAGAGAUCACAGCUUUGUUGUCAGGAUCCUAAUUUAUUAUUUCAAUAUACCAUCUCAGGGGUGCCCAGCUACUGAAACAAGAAAAAGUAAUUUUAAGAAGUUUAUUUACCCAGUUUUCUUUUUUUCCUCCAAAUACAAUGUAAUAGGCUUGACUACCUUUCCUCUAGACAGCUCCUGGGAGGGCUUGUGAAGACAGCACAGCACGGGGGGCCUGCAGAACCACACCAGCAGCCUGAGACACAGCAAUUGCUAGACAACUGGCAUCUAAAUUCAACGAUAUUUGUAAUCUUUCAUCCAAUGGCUGGUUCUCACCACAGAGAACUCCAGGGAUAGUAACUUGCUGGUAAGCCCACAUUUCAGUUCUGGUACUCAGUCUAGGCUUCAGCGACCACCUAUCGAAAGCUCUUGAAAUCUGCCUACUCUGGCAGGAGCGGAUAAGCGUAUGUAUAUAUACCUCGCACAGCCUUUCAGCAGGUUGAGUCCCCAGUGCUGCAGUUUGGGAAGCACUAGUACAGCUUAUUGAAGUUCUAGCUAAAGUUCCUGGCGUAAGAAAGCUGUGACCACAGCAGUAUUGGUUAUUACAGAAGUUCUCUCAUUGGAAGUGAUUAAGAAGAAACCUGACCAAGUAUUUCUGCAGGUCAAGCACUGGCAGGGCAGAGGAGCAACAUUACAAACAUUACAUUUUCAGGAUCUCAUUCAUGUGAUUCUCUCUGCUGCUCUCUACUACAUAUAUGAUGCAACUCUGUUUAUAGCAAAGAAGGGACAGUAGGGACUGCUUAAUCAGGACAGUCUAAUGUAUGGGCAAUUAUCCAAAGCCACACAUUUUCUAAAUUCUGUAUGGGCAGAGAUGGAGCUUAAGAGCUCUGUAGGGAUCAGAGCUGCUAACAAACUUCUAAGGAGGGCUCUGGGGACUGCGAUGUGCAUAAUGAGAAAAUCUGGAUAUUCAGUGUGAAGAACUCUCCCAAUUUAGCUGCAGUCUAUGUAAAUUAAAUUUGUAUUUAAUGCUUGUCACUAUGCAGUCCUCUUUAGCACUGGGAUAAAUUGGGUAGCCUGUGAUUUUUCCCUUUUUUGUUAUUAGUGUGGCUGAAAGUGGUUCAGAAAGGUGAGACCUGGAAAACUUGGUCAAGGACGCUGCUGGGAAGUACUAUUAUAUAGCCAAAUUUUCCUAUCAGCUCCCACCUCUUCAGGCUACAGCAUCAUGUCUGCAUGCUACAUGCUUAUUUAUUUCCAUGUGUUACAUUUGAACAUCAUAUGCACAUAGUCUCUAUAUAUAUGUACAUAUACGUGUGUGCAUAUACACACACAUACAUUUAUAACACACCUACUAAAACAAAGGGGUCUAGAGAACCUUUAGAAUACUGGAUUUAAAAAAGAAGAAGAGAAAAAAAAUCUUCUAAAAUACUUAAUUCUAUGUUUUCUUCUAUUCCUUCCACAUAACUAAAAGUGCUUCCACUAUAUUUAACUUUCGAAAGUCUGAAGACAUCCUUGGUGGUUACCCUUAGUUCUAAUCCAGUUCCUUUGUUACUGAGUCAGUUCAGAAAAACAUCUCUGUUCAGGAAAGCACUUAAACAUACACUUAAGUACAUUCUUAAAGGUAACUUCUCGAAUCAGUCUAAUAAUUUAAAGUAGUAUU